AUGAAGAUGGUUGAAACUGAGAAACAUUUGGUAUUCCCAGUAUACAAACUUAUUGAGUUGGCGUUGAUAUUGUCGGUGUCAACGGCAUCUGUUGAGUGAGAUUUUUCAGCAAUGAAGAUUAUCAAGACUGAACUGCGUAGUAAGAUCAAUAAUGAAUGGUUCAAUGACUUGAUGAUAUGUUACACCGAGCGGGAAUUAUUCAAGUCAGUUGAUGAUAAGGAUAUUAUUCGAACAUUUACUGCAAUGAGAUCUUGGAAAGGGCAUUUGCCUCAUGAUUUUCUUUAG
rnacentral:rRNA from 1 species